AAGCAGAGACUAGACCUCGUACCUUUUGCAUCAUGACUUAGCUAGCAUGCCUCAAGCAAAGAUUACUUUAGUUUGAUACCCCGAAACUGAGGUGAGCUACUCCAAGACAGCCUGCCUAUAGGGCAAACCCGUCUCUGUGGCAAAAGAGUGGGAAGAGCUUCGAGUAGAGGUGACAGACCUACCGAACCCAGUAAUAGCUGGUUGCCUGAGAAAUGAAUUUGAGUUCAGCCUCUCGGCUUCUACACAUCUACAUAUUAAACCCUAAGACCCCAGACGCCAAGAACCCAAGAGAGUUAAUCGAAGGAGGAACAGCCCCUUCGAAUCAAGACACAACUUUAUUAAGAGGAUAAAGACCAUAACCUGUUUAAGGUAAUAUAUUCCAGUUGGCCUGAAAGCAGCCACCCUAAAAGAAAGCGUUACAGCUCAAGUAUUUUUACACCCUAAAUCCCGGCAACACUAUCUUAAUCCCUUAACUCUUACCAGGCCUCUCCAUGCAAACAUGGAAGAGAUUAUGCUAAUAUGAGUAAUUAGAGCGUACACCAGACCCUCUCCCUGCACACGUGUAAAUCGGAAUGGACCCCCCACCGAACCUUAACGGCCCCAAACGAAGAGGGAACUGGGACAUAAACAAAUAACAAGAAAACCCCCCAAUCGUCAACCGUUAACCCCACACAGGUGUGCUUCCAGGGAAAGACUAAUAGAAAAAGAAGGAACUCGGCAAACACACCCCGGAAAAAAAUUCCUUUUUCCUUCCAAAAGCCUCGCCUGUUUACCAAAAACAUCGCCUCUUGCAAAACAAAAAUAAGAGGUCCUGCCUGCCCAGUGUGAAACUUUUCUCAACGGCCGCGGUAUUUUGACCGUGCUAAGGUAGCGUAAUCAUUUGUCUUUUAAAUGAAGACCUGUAUGAAUGGCUCGACGAGGGCUUAGCUGUCUCCUUUUUCAGGUCAAUGAAAUUGAUCUCCCCGUGCAAAAGCGGGGAUACACCCAUAAGACGAGAAGACCCUAUGGAGCUUCAGAUGUUACAGCAAGCAUUAUGUGCUACUUCCAAACAAAGGGGGUAUCACUAGCCCCUGCCCAAACAUCUUCGGUUGGGGUGACCAUGGGGAACAAAAAACCCCCACGCCUCUGUAUUGGAGUCUCCUACACACCUAAACAAACUCCCUCAAACAAGAGCCACCGCUCUAGUUUAACAGAAUUUCUGACCACCGAUCCGGCAACGCCGAUUAACGAACCAAGUUACCCUAGGGAUAACAGCGCAAUCCCCUUUCAGAGCCCAUAUCGAUAAGGGGGCUUACGACCUCGAUGUUGGAUCAGGACAUCCUAAUGGUGCAACCGCUAUUAAGGGUUC
rnacentral:rRNA from 1 species